CAAGUCGAACGAGCUUAGUUUUGUAGCAAUACAAAACUGAGCUAGUGGCGAACGGGUGCGUAACACGUGAGCAAUCUGCCUUAAAGUGGGGGAUAGCUCGCCGAAAGGCGAAUUAAUACCGCAUGUGGUUGUAAAACCAAAGCCGGGGCAACCUGGCGCUUUUAGAGGAGCUCGCGGCCUAUCAGCUUGUUGGUGAGGUAAUGGCUCACCAAGGCUUCGACGGGUAGCUGGUCUGAGAGGACGACCAGCCACACUGGAACUGAGACACGGUCCAGACACCUACGGGUGGCAGCAGUCGAGAAUUUUUCUCAAUGGGGGAAACCCUGAAGGAGCGACGCCGCGUGGAGGAUGAAUGCUUUCGGGUUGUAAACUCCUGUCAUUUGGGAACAAAGCCUUACGUUAACUGCGUGGAGGUUUGAUAGUACCAGAAGAGGAAGAGACGGCUAACUCUGUGCCAGCAGCCGCGGUAAUACAGAGGUCUCAAGCGUUGUUCGGAUUCAUUGGGCGUAAAGGGCGCGUAGGCGGCGGGGCAAGUCGGGUGUGAAAUCUCAGAGCUCAACUCUGAAACUGCACUCGAUACUGCUUUGCUAGAGGACUGGAGAGGAGAUUGGAAUUCACGGUGUAGCAGUGAAAUGCGUAGAUAUCGUGAGGAAGACCAGUGGCGAAGGCGGAUCUCUGGACAGUUCCUGACGCUGAGGCGCGAAGGCCAGGGGAGCAAACGGGAUUAGAUACCCCGGUAGUCCUGGCAGUAAACGGUGCACGUUUGGUGUGCGCGGAUUCGACCCCGUGCGUGCCGGAGCUAACGCGUUAAACGUGCCGCCUGAGGAGUACGGUCGCAAGAUUAAAACUCAAAGAAAUUGACGGGGGCCC
rnacentral:rRNA from 1 species